rnacentral:rRNA from 1 species
GUGUCAGCAGCCGCGGUAAUACGGAGGGUGCAAGCGUUGUCCGGAAUCACUGGGUGUAAAGGGCGCGUAGGCGGACCUGUUAGUCAGAGGUGAAAUCCUGCGGCUUAACCGUAGAACUGCCUUUGAUACUGCAGGUCUUGAGUUCGAAAGAGAGUAGCGGAAUUCCAGGUGUAGUGGUGAAAUACGUAGAUAUCUGGAAGAACACCAGUGGCGAAGGCGGCUACUUGGUUCGUAACUGACGCUGAGGCGCGAAAGCGUGGGGAGCAAACAGGAUUAGAUACCCUGGUAGUCCACGCCGUAAACGAUUAAUACUAGGUGUUGGCUCCGUUAGGAGUCAGUGCCGCAGCUAACGCAUUAAGUAUUCCACCUGGGGAGUACGAUCGCAAGGUUGAAACUCAAAGUAAUUGGCGGGG